rnacentral:rRNA from 1 species
CAAUAGCGUAUAUUAAAGUUGUUGCAGUUAAAAAGCUCGUAGUUGGAUUUCUGGUAGGAGUGACCGUUCCGAACUUGAUUGUUCGUGUAUUGUGUUUUCUCCAGCCAUCCUUGUGGAGAACUUUUCUUGCAUUAAUUUGUAGGGAUUGGGACCCGCAUCGUUUACUGUGAAAAAAUUAGAGUGUUUAAAGCAGGCAAUCGCUUGAAUACAUUAGCAUGGAAUAAUAAGAUAGGACUUUGGUACUAUUUUGUUGGUUUGCAUACCAAAUUAAUGAUCAACAGGAACAGUUUGAGGAUAUUCGUAUGAACAUGUCAGAGGUGAAAUUCUUGGAUUUUGAUCAGACGAAUUACUGCGAAAGCAUUUAUCAAGGAUGUUUUCAUUAA